UUAUGAUGUUUAAAUAUAAUUUAUUAAUUGUUAGUAGAUGGUUUUAUCUUUGGUAUUGCAGCCAGUUUCAUAAAAAUACGCAAGCUUACAAUAUUAUUCAUUUGUAAAAUAUAUAUGAAUUAAAUUAGAUCUUUUUCAUUAAAAUAAUGAAAGACAAUAUAAAUAAACCUAUUACAAAAUCCAAUCUUUGGUUCCACACUUUGUAGCCAAUUGUAAAAAAUAUGGGCAAGAAAUAACAUAGAAUAUUUUGUACCAUAAUUGAAUCAAAACCAUUCUGAUUGCUUUUGCAAACAAUCCAAAUCUUAUAGUAAUGUACAUCGGUACUUGUAUUGUCACUACAUUAUCUGUAAAGGACAAUUUGGUAUAGUUUCUCACAUAUAUGCUACUGAUAGAUUAUCACUUUAUCAACCAGUGAAAGAGGCCCUAAACGAAUGCAGUUUGACAUAUAGUUCUCUUUCACAUUAAAAUCCGAAUAUAAUUAUUAUUUUCUAAUGUUAAGCAAAUCAACAUUUUUUAUGCUAGAAACACCACACUACUAUAAGAUUUGAGAUCACUGCUUAUAACUCACAUUUAAAUACAAGUAAUAUAUUCAAUAUAUAAUAUAUUAUAAUACACUUAACAUAAACAUAGUAUGGUUAUAUGAAUUAAUCAUGACUAUAAUUAAAUUGAAUGUGGUUCAAAUGCCAAUCCCAUUUUAUGUUUGGUUAUAAAACGGACUUUGUUCAAAUACAGAACAAACAUACUUGUAAAUAUUUGAUGACGAUUAAAAAGUACAUAUUUAAACAACUGUUACAUUUAUGGGAUUAACGAUAAGAUACUCAUACUAGACCUAGAUAGACAUAGAGAGAUAUAUGAUAGACCUAGAUAUUGUAAUAGACCAGGUGACGCUUUUUUCAUAACCUGCUUUAUGUCCAGAUCCGUUAUUAAAGAAUUCCUGUGUCUAUUAGGACAAGGGCAAACCCACAUAAGCGUACUACGUCAUCAUUUUAACAUCAAAUAUAACUUACAUGCACACAUGCAUUUUUCACUUGCAAAAACGCAUUCUAUUUCCUAUGUGUUUGUGUAUUACGCUAAUAAACAUUUAUGUACUGAUGAACAUUCAGAGAUUAAGAUUUAUAUUUGUUAUUACAAUAGACAUCAAUGUUGUAUACUAAAGUCACUUUUUGCAUUUGCAAAAACGUAUUCUAUUUCCUAUGUGUUUAUGUUUUACGCUAAUAAACAUUAAUGUACUGAUGAACAUUCAGAGAUUAAGAUUUAUAUUUGUUAUUACAAUAGACAUCAAUGUUGUAUGCUAAAUCACUUUUUGCACUUGCAAAAACGCAUUCUAUUUCCUAUGUGUUUAUGUUUUACGCUAAUAAACAUUUAUGUACUGAUGAACAUUCAGGGAUUUAGAUUUACAUUUGUUAUUACAAUAGACAUCAAUGUUGUAUGCUAAAGCCACUAGCAAUAGGGCAACACAACAUAUAAGUGCUGCAUGUUAAAACAAAAUACAUAAAUAGACAUAAUGUUUUAUCAAAUAAUAUCAACAGAUUAUAAUUAAGAAGUUGCCCACAUGUCAAAUAUUGAAAAGUAAUAUCCAAUAAUAUGCUAUCAGAUUCUUGCUAUUAAUGCUUAGGACUAAAUUUAUACUAAAGACUAUUUCAACAGAAUUUGUAUAAAGAAAAUUAAAUUAUUAAAAUAUGAAUUAUUUUAAAAAUAAUUUAAAAUAUAAUAUGAUUGAAGUUCAAAAAGAUUACUAAUACAAAUUUUAUUGAAAUGGUACCACUAUGUUACAUUUAAGAAAACAAGGAAUGG
rnacentral:misc_RNA from 1 species